AUUGAACGCUGGCGGCAGGCCUAACACAUGCAAGUCGAGCGGAUGAGUGGAGCUUGCUCCAUGAUUCAGCGGCGGACGGGUGAGUAAUGCCUAGGAAUCUGCCUGGUAGUGGGGGACAACGUUUCGAAAGGAACGCUAAUACCGCAUACGUCCUACGGGAGAAAGUGGGGGAUCUUCGGACCUCACGCUAUCAGAUGAGCCUAGGUCGGAUUAGCUAGUUGGUGAGGUAAAGGCUCACCAAGGCGACGAUCCGUAACUGGUCUGAGAGGAUGAUCAGUCACACUGGAACUGAGACACGGUCCAGACUCCUACGGGAGGCAGCAGUGGGGAAUAUUGGUCAAUGGGCGAAAGCCUGAUCCAGCCAUGCCGCGUGUGUGAAGAAGGUCUUCGGAUUGUAAAGCACUUUAAGUUGGGAGGAAGGGCAGUAAGUUAAUACCUUGCUGUUUUGACGUUACCAACAGAAUAAGCACCGGCUAACUUCGUG
rnacentral:rRNA from 1 species